UAGGGAAUCUUCGGCAAUGGGGGGAACCCUGACCGAGCAACGCCGCGUGAGUGAAGAAGGUUUUCGGAUCGUAAAGCUCUGUUGUUAAGGAAGAACGAGUGUGAGAAUGGAAAGUUCAUACUGUGACGGUACUUAACCAGAAAGGGACGGCUAACUACGUGCCAGCAGCCGCGGUAAUACGUAGGUCCCGAGCGUUGUCCGGAUUUAUUGGGCGUAAAGCGAGCGCAGGCGGUUAGAUAAGUCUGAAGUUAAAGGCAGUGGCUCAACCAUUGUAGGCUUUGGAAACUGUUUAACUUGAGUGCAGAAGGGGAGAGUGGAAUUCCAUGUGUAGCGGUGAAAUGCGUAGAUAUAUGGAGGAACACCGGUGGCGAAAGCGGCUCUCUGGUCUGUAACUGACGCGGAGGCUCAAAAGCGUGGGGAGCGAACAGG
rnacentral:rRNA from 1 species